GGCGGCAGCGGCGGCAGCGGCUGCGGCCAAGCUGGGUCCGAGCAUCCCGCGGCUCUGGAGCCGCCCGGCCCGGACAUGGCGACCGUCCGGGCCUCUCUGCGAGGUGCGCUGCUCCUUCUGCUGGCCGUGGCGGGGGUCGCGGAGGUGGCAGGGGGCCUGGCUCCGGGCAGUGCGGGUGCAUUGUGUUGUAAUCAUUCAAAGGAUAACCAAAUGUGCCGUGAUGUAUGUGAACAGCAUUCAUGGAUUUUACCGUCUCAGCUAUUUGCAGAUUUUCUCCUCAAAAAGUGAAUCCCGACUAAAACAUCUGUUGCAGCGAGCCCCAGAUUAUUGCCCAGAGACAAUGGUUGAAAUUUGGAAUUGUAUGAAUUCAUCUUUGCCAGGUGUGUUUAAGAAGUCUGAUGGCUGGGUUGGCUUAGGCUGCUGUGAACUGGCUAUUGCCUUGGAGUGUCGACAGGCAUGCAAGCAGGCAUCUUCAAAGAAUGAUAUUUCCAAAGUUUGCAGAAAAGAAUAUGAGCCUGUCCUCCGUUAUUUUAGUGUGCUUCCUUCUCUUGUCUGGAUUUCUGCAUUGCCCUAGGAAGUCUGCCAGUAUGUGUUGAUGAAGGACGAGACAGGAAAGAAUGCUCUUUUCAGUUGCAUUAGCAGAAAUGAAAUGGGCUCGGUUUGUUGCAGUUAUGCAGGUCAUCACACAAACUGCCGAGAAUACUGUCAAGCCAUUUUUCGAACAGACUCUUCUCCUGGUCCAUCUCAGAUAAAAGCAGUGGAAAAUUAUUGCGCCUCUAUUAGUCCACAAUUAAUACAUUGUGUGAACAAUUAUACUCAAUCUUAUCCAAUGAGGAACCCAACGGAUAGCAGAUCUGUGCUCUCUGACAUUUAGUCUGUACGAGGUACUGCUGGAGCUAAGGAGAUGGCAGCUCAAUAAAAAAGCAGAAAGAGGUUUUAAGGGUAGAACAACCGUCUCCAUCUUUGCCAAUACAGAGGAAUCUGGAAAAGAAGGCGCCAAACAGAUAUGCACAGAUUUCUUCCAAAGUCAGAGAAAACUACUUCAAAGAAGCCCUUCUGAAUUCUGUAAUAUGGUUGAAAGUGUUUUUUUAUUUCUGAUUCUUUGAGAAAAUUAAAGGCAGAGCCAAA
rnacentral:sRNA from 1 species